rnacentral:rRNA from 1 species
ACGCCGUAAAACGAUGUCAACUAGCCGUUGGGACUCUUGAAGUCUUAGUGGCGCAGCCUAACGCACUAAGUUGACCGCCUGGGGAGUACGGCCGCAAGGUUAAAACUCAAAUGAAUUGACGGGGGCCCGCACAAGCGGUGGAGCAUGUGGUUUAAUUCGACGCAACGCGAAGAACCUUACCUGGCCUUGACAUCCAGAGAACUUUCCAGAGAUGGAUUGGUGCCUUCGGGAACUCUGAGACAGGUGCUGCAUGGCCGUCGUCAGCUCGUGUCGUGAGAUGUUGGGUUAAGUCCCGUAACGAGCGCAACCCCUAUCCCUGGUUGCUAGCAGGUAAUGCUGAGAACUCCAGGGAGACUGCCGGUGACAAACCGGAGGAAGGUGGGGAUGACGUCAGGUCAUCAUGGCCCUUACGGCCAGGGCUACACACGUGCUACAAUGGCGCGUACAGAGGGCUGCCAACUCGCGAGAGUGAGCCAAUCCCUUAAAACGCGUCGUAGUCCGGAUCGGAGUCUGCAACUCGACUCCGUGAAGUCGGAAUCGCUAGUAAUCGCGAAUCAGAAGAGCGAUUGCGG